GAUGAACGCUGGCGGCGUGCCUAAUACAUGCAAGUCGAGCGAACGGACGAGAAGCUUGCUUUUCUGAUGUUAGCGGCGGACGGGUGAGUCACACGUGUAUACCCUCCCUAUAAGACUGGGAUAACUUCGGGAAACCGGAGCUAAUACCGUAUAAUAUUUUGCACCGCAUGGUUCAAAAGUGAAAUACGGUCUUGCUGUCACUUCUCGCUGGAUCCCGGCUGCAUUAGCUAGUUGGUAAGGUAACGGCUUACCAAGGCAACGAUGCGUAGCCGACCUGAGAGGGGGAUAGGCCGCACGGGAGGGGAGACACGGACCAGGCUACUAAGGGAGGCAGCAGUAGGGAAUGGUCCGCAAUGGGGGAAAGCAUGACGGAGCAAGGCGGAGUGAGUGAUGAAGGUCUUCGGAUCGUAAAAAUCGGUUAUGAGGGAAGAACAGAUGUGGAAGGAAAUGUGCACAGCGUGACGGUACCUAAUCAGAAAGCCACGGCUAACUACGUG
rnacentral:rRNA from 1 species